UACAGAGGUCUCGAGCGUUGUUCGGAUUCAUUGGGCGUAAAGGGUGCGUAGGCGGCGGGGCAAGUCUGAUGUGAAAUCCCGGGGCUCAACCCCGGAACUGCAUUGGAUACUGCCUUGCUUGAGUACUGGAGAGGAGAGUGGAAUUCCCGGUGUAGCGGUGAAAUGCGCAGAUAUCGGGAAGAACACCCGUGGCGAAGGCGGCUCUCUGGGACGGUACUGACGCUGAGACGCGAAGGCGUGGGGAGCGAACAGG
rnacentral:rRNA from 1 species